GCUGCACCUGUGGCAUAGGGAAGUUCCUGGGCUAGGGGGUGAAUUGGAGCUGCAGCUGCCAGCCUACGCCACAGCCACCAGCCUAUGCCACAGCCACAGCAACCAGAUCCAAAUGCAUCUGAGACCUACACUGCAGCUCAUGGUAACGCCAGAUCCUUUAACCCACAUUUUCAUGGAUACUAGUUGGGUUCCUCACCUGCUGAGCCACAGUGGGAACUCCUGGAUUCACUGAACUUUUAAAAUCUGCAAAUGUAUGUCUUUUACAAAAUUUGGGAAAACCUUUGGGCCUUGUUUCUUAAAAUUUUUUUUCUCUUUUCUUCUGAGAUUCUAUUGAUACACAUCAGGCAUUUUUGCAGAGAUGUACAAAAAUUUAAGCUCUAUUUAUAUUUCAAAAUUUUCCCUCUUUUACUGAAAUUGGAUAAUUUCUAUCGAUCUGUCUUCAACUGCCCUUUUCUUUUGUUACUUUCAUUGUGUUGUUAAGCCUACCCAGCGGAAGUUUUAUUUACGAUAUUGUGUUUUUCCAUUUAGUUCAUUUUUAUAUUUCUUAUUAAUCUUUUGAGAUUUUUAAUUUUUCACUUACUACAAGCACAUUUUCACUGUCAUCAAGCACUAAUUCCAAAGUCCAGGUCAUCCCCAGGUUGGUGCCUGCUGAAGCCUUUUUCUCUUGGGAGCAGGUCUUAGAUUCCUGGUUCAUCACAUGCUGAAUAAUUUUGGCUUGUAUCCUGGACAUAAUGAAUGUUUUGCUUACAAGAGGCUGGAUUUUCUUACAGUCUUACAAAGAGUGUUCAUUCUUUUAAGAGGCAGUAAGUAAGCUGAAUGAACUCACAAUGAAAAUUCUGAAAAUGUGCAAUUCAAGUUCUUUUACCCUGAGCUAGGCUCCUUGCUCCCUAUCUCUUGCAUGCAUGAUACCAUCAACCAGAGAUGUGGGCAGAAUUUAUGGCUCUUUGGCUUUCUCCUUUCUGGUAUUCGUCCCUCAGUUUCUAGAGAUUGAUGGCUGUCCUGAAUUUUGGUCCUAGUUUUUCAGGCCAGGAAGACUGCAUUAAAUUAGCCUAGACUUAGUCAUUUAAAAACACGUAUGUGUGCUAUCUCACAGUUUCUGUGGGUUAGCGGUCUGGGCACAGCUAUGCUCAGGGUCUCACAAGGUGUCGUUAGGCUGUGCUCCCAUCUGGAACAUCCACUUGCAAGCUCGGGCGACCGGGGGGUGGGGGGGUGGGGCACGUUGGAAGGGUUCCCUCCCUUGCAGCGUGAUGCCUGAGGGACCCGGCUGCUUCCUGUGGACUGGGGGCCAUCCUCAGGUCCUAGAGGCCACCUGCCCUUCCGUGUCAUGUGGUCCUCUUCAAAGGCAGCUCAUGUCAUCAGUGUUUGCUCUGUGAGGCCAGCAGAUCCGUCCCUCUAUUUUGCUAAGAUGGACUCUCAUCUAAGAAAAUGUAUUCAAGGGAGAGACAUUCCGUCACCUUUAUCAUAUAAUGUAUCUAAUCAAAGAAGUGAGACCCGCAGUCUGUGGGUCAGAAGCAAGUUGCAGGUCCCAGGGCACAAAGAGAGGGGGUCACCCAAGGGUCUGAAUGACUGGGAAACACUGGGGUGCUGGCCACCAGGACCACACCAAACGUAUGUUUUACAAUCUUACAAUCUGGGGUCCCGGGAGGUAAAAGAACGUCUCCAAAGUUGCAAAGGUCAGUGUUGGUAGAACCUCGGAUUCAAAUCCAGGCAAAGCCUGCAUCCUCCUGGUAAAAGCAUAUAUAUCCCAACAAGGAAGCCUAUGUGCUCUGCCCUGUGGGAGCAGAGUCUGGGCUCAGCGCCAGAGAGCCAGCCUACGAGAAACACGCCAUCUGCAAAGCGAUGCUGUCCUACUGUUGACUAAAAAAUAUGCACAGCCUAAAAGUUGGGAGUUAUGUUUUAUUCAGCAGACAAAACUGAGGACGUCAGCCUGGGAGGCAGCAUCUCGAGUAACCCUGAGAGAACUGCUCUGAGGAGGUGAGUGGGGAGCCAGGAUCUAUAGGAGUUUUGCAACAAAGGGCUGGCAGCAGGAACAAAAGGUUAACAACAGAAAACUAGAGAGAGUUCCCUUUGUGGCCAGUGGAAAUGAAUCCAGAUAAUAUUCAUGAGAAUGAGGGUUCAAUCCCUGGCCUCGCUCAGUGGGUUAAGGAUCCGGCAUUGCCGUGAGCUGUGGUGUAGGUCGCAGACGUGGCUCGAAUCUGGUGUUGCUGUGGCUGUGGCCGGUGGCUACGGCUCCGAUUUGACCCCUAGCCUGGGAACUUUCCUAUGCUGCAAAAAGCAAAACAAAAGAAAAGAAAAACGAAAACAAACAAAAACCCCCACAAAAACCUAGAAAAGUAGAUAUGUCAGGUUAAGGAAUUUAGCGCUUCUCUAUGUCUGGGAAGAAACAAGAUUCUGGAAAGGUUCCUUUCCAGGCACCUCAGCUCGCAGGGCCGGGGUCCUGUGUUCUCCCAUCCUGCCUCCCCUCAGGGCUCCCCCUGGAGGUGGCUGCCAUCGCUGAUGACUGUCACAUCCUCUGUUUAUGGACAGGGCAGGCAGUAUUUUACCCUCACUAUCCUUCUGGAAACAUGGGAAAUCUCAGCCAUACCUGCAACUCAGAGCUCCCCAACACAAAAUUAGUUUCCUCAAUCCCAGAGUUGCUUGAGGGUGUUUUAUCUCCUCAUCUGCAAUUAAAGCCGCUGAGAUUACAUCACACCAGAAGGCCCAACAGAUGACGCAGUUGAAUUCAGAGAAGCCACCACGUUAAAACACUCCCUUCACAAUUAUAGGAACCUUAUCAGGCAAAUCCAGAUUCUCUUGGUUUGGUUAUCAGCUAAGGUUCUCAGGUGCUUUUACUGCCUCUCUCCCGUUACCAGGAUAUUCAGGCUCUGUAAUCCUAGAUCUACUGUAAUUCUAGUAAUAAGUUUGGUAACAGUUUCUAACAGUUGAUAUCAAAAAGCAGCUCAUAAGUAACCAUUGUAAAAGCAUCAGUUGAAAACCAGGAGGAGGAAGUUCUUUUAGAGAAACUGAAACUCCUCAGUUGGCUGGUGUCCGCAAGCCCAUUAACAAGUCCAAGCCCUUCUUUAUCAUGUAAAAGAGGAAGGAGCCUAAGCUGUGUUCUUGACCUGCAAGGUCCUUUGACCUCUAAAUUUACAAUGUGCACCUCAAGCCUCUUUACUUAGUGUGGAAACUGAAAACUAAGAAAAGUUUCUGGAGUUCCUGGUGGCUCAGUAGGUUAAAGAUGGUGCGGCCCCCACAACAGUUUCCAAGGGAACAAAAUGAGAUUUUCUAUCACAAAUAUAGGUCAACUCUAUGUUGGGUUAAAGUCUUGCAAUAAACCCGUGUGACCGCCACGUAAACAGAGAUCUGAAAGUUGAGAAUCAUGGACUUGGAGAAUAGACUUGUGGUCGCCAACGGGGAGAGGGAGGGAGUGGGAUGGAUUGGGGAGCUUGGGGUUCAUAGAUGCAGACUAUUGCCUUUGGAAUGGAUUAGCAAUGAGAUCCUGCUGUGUAGCACUGGGAACUCUGUCUAGUCACUUAUGAUGGAGCAUGAGAAUGGGAGAAAAAUGAAUGUAUACAUGUGUGUGACUGGGUCACCUUGCUGUACAGUAGAAAACUGACAGAACACUGUAAACCAGCUAUAAUGGAAAAAAUAAAAAUCAUUAUAUAUGUACAAAAAAGAAAAACCCAAUUAAAAAAACCCCUGGAAAUUCUUGCUAAUCUUGUGAGCACUCCUGCAGGUCCUAUUGCAUGUUAGCCUCUUUCAAAACGACCUCGAGUGUGCAGACAUGAAGACACAGGCACAGGUAUCAUUCUCACUUUACUUCUGAGCAAACGGAAGUCACAAAGGUUGAUCAGCAAGUCCUUCUGAGUGCCCUGUCCAGAGUUGUACAGAGUGUAAACAGAUGAGAAAGACCACAGCGUCUCUAAGUGCCUCGGAUCUCACCUAAGGACAAGCUGUCACUGCUCACUACCUUUUUUUUAAUGGCCACGCCCCCAGCAUGUGGGGCUUCUCAGGCCAGGGAC
ensembl:lncRNA